rnacentral:rRNA from 2 species
UACGGAGGAUGCAAGCGUUAUCCGGAAUGAUUGGGCGUAAAGCGUCCGCAGGUGGCAUUUCAAGUCUGCGGUUAAAGGUUCUGGCUCAACCAGAGACAAGCCGUGGAAACUGAAAAGCUAGAGUAUGGUAGGGGCAGAGGGAAUUCCCAGUGUAGCGGUGAAAUGCGUAGAGAUUGGGAAGAACACCGGUGGCGAAAGCGCUCUGCUAGGCCAAAACUGACACUGAGGGACGAAAGCUAGGGGAGCGAAUGGG